GAUGAACGCUGGCGGCGUGCCUAAUACAUGCAAGUCGAGCGAACGGACGAGAAGCUUGCUUUUCUGAUGUUAGCGGCGGACGGGUGAGUAACACGUGGAUAACCUACCUAUAAGACUGGGAUAACUUCGGGAAACCGGAGCUAAUACCGGAUAAUAUUUUGAACCGCAUGGUUCAAAAGUGAAAGACGGUCUUGCUGUCGCUUAUAGAUGGAUCCGCGCUGCAUUAGCUAGUUGGGAAGGUAGUGGCUUACCAAGGCAACGAUGCAUAGCCGGCCUGAGAGGGUGAACGGCAACAGGGGGAAGGAGAAAAGGGCAAGACUGCUAAGGGAGGGAGCAGUGGGGAAUAUUAAACAAUGGGUGGAAGCGUGAUGCAGGAACGUAGCGGGCGGGAUGAAGGCGGUCGGGUUGUAAAAAGCGGCCGCCUGUGAAGAAGCGGGAGGGAAGGGAAUGGGUAAAGAAGAAACGGCUAAAGAAGUG
rnacentral:rRNA from 1 species